GACGAACGCUGGCGGCGUGCUUAACACAUGCAAGUCGCACGGGACCAGCAAUGGUCCAGUGGCGAACGGGUGCGUAACACGUGAGGAACUUGUCCAUCGGCGGGGGAUAGCCGGCCCAACGGCCGGGUAAUACCGCGUACGUCGGUUGCGGCGCAUGUCGCGACCGGGAAAGCAGCAAUGCACCGAUGGAGAGCCUCGCGGCCUAUCAGCUUGUUGGCGGGGUAAUGGCCCACCAAGGCGACGACGGGUAGCUGGUCUGAGAGGAUGAUCAGCCACAUUGGGACUGAGACACGGCCCAGACUCCUACGGGAGGCAGCAGUGGGGAAUAUUGCGCAAUGGGCGAAAGCCUGACGCAGCGACGCCGCGUGCGGGAUGACGGCCUUCGGGUUGUAAACCGCUGUCGGGGGGGACGAAGAUCUGACGGUACCCCCAAAGGAAGCACCGGCUAACUCUG
rnacentral:rRNA from 1 species